rnacentral:rRNA from 1 species
GGAAAGGUGAAAAGAACCCCGAACAGGGGAGUGAAAUAGAACCUGAAACCAUACGCUUACAACCGGUCGGAGCAGCUUCGUGCUGUGACGGCGUGCCUAUUGAAUAAUGAGCCUACGAGUUACUAAUCACUAGCGAGGUUAAGUGCAAGGAUGCACGGAGCCGAAGCGAAAGCGAGUCUGAACAGGGCGUUUAGUUAGUGGUUGUAGACGCGAAACCUUGCGAUCUACCCUUGAGCAGGUUGAAGGUUGGGUAAAACCAACUGGAGGACCGAACGAAUAAGCGUUGAAAAGCUUCUCGAUGACUUGAGGGUAGGGGUGAAAGGCUAAUCAAGCUGGGAAAUAGCUCGUACUCCCCGAAAUGCCUUUUGGGGCAGCGUUGUAAUAAAGAGUCUACUGGAGGUAGAGCUACUGAUUGGAUGCGGGGGCUUCACCGCCUACCAAAUCCUGACAAACUCCGAAUGCCAGUAGUAUGAUUUACAGCAGUGAGUGACUGGGUGCUAAUGUCCAGUCGCAAAAGAGGAACAACUCAGACCAGCAACUAAGGUCCCGAAGAAUAUGCUAAGUUGAUCUAACGAUGUUUUGUUGCAGAGACAGCUAGGAUGUUAGCUUGGAAGCAGCUAUUCAUUCAAAGAGUGCGUAACAGCUCACUAGUCGAGCGACAGAGCGUGGAUAAUAAACGGGCAUCAAGCAUAUCACCGAAGUUCUGGGCGCGAGAGCGCGGUAGGGGAGCAUUCCAUUCAGCGUCGAAGCAGUUUCGUGAGGAAUUGUGGAGCGUAUGGAAAAGCAAAUGUAGGCAUGAGUAACGAUAAUGCGGGAGAGUAACCCGCACACCGCAAGACCAAGGUUUCCUGAUCAACGCUAAUCGGAUCAGGGUUAGUCGGGUCCUAAGGGUAAGCCGAACGGCGAUCUCGAUGGAUAAUCGGUUAAUAUUCCGAUACUAACAUAUACCUCGAUGGAGAGACGAAGGAACGUAAGUGCCGCCACCUGACGGAAUAGGUGGUUAAAGGGCGUAGGUAUAGGGGCAGAUUAAGAGUUAGUCCUUGCUGAAACCUGACAGUACAGAGAGCCUACGGGCAAUUUGAUAGAGCACCCAAGUCGACUUCCGAGAAAAUCUUCUAAGUUAUAGUAUAUGUUACCCGUACCGUAAACCGACACAGGUGGUCGAGGAGAGUAUCCUAAGGUGCUCGAGUGAAUCACGGUUAAGGAACUAGGCAAAUUAACCCCGUAACUUCGGGAAAAGGGGUCCCUAUGAAAGUAGGGCGCAGCGAAGAGGUCCAGGCGACUGUUUAUCAAAAACACAGGGCUCUGCAAAUUCGAAAGAAGACGUAUAGGGCCUGACACCUGCCCGGUGCUGGAAGGUUAAGAGGGGAUGUCAUCGCAAGAGAAGCAUUGAAUCGAAGCCCCAGUAAACGGCGGCCGUAACUAUAACGGUCCUAAGGUAGCGAAAUUCCUUGUCGGGUAAGUUCCGACCUGCACGAAUGGUGUAACGAUCUGGACACUGUCUCAACCGUGAGCUCGGUGAAAUUGUAGUCCCGGUGAUGAUGCCGGGUACCCGCAACGGGACGAAAAGACCCCGUGAACCUUUACUAUAGCUUAACGCUGAAUUUGGGUACACAAUGUGUAGGAUAGGC